rnacentral:rRNA from 3 species
GGAUGCGAUCAUACCAGCACUAAAGCACCGGAUCCCAUCAGAACUCCGAAGUUAAGCGUGCUUGGGUGAGAGUAGUACUAGGAUGGGUGACCUCCUGGGAAGUCCUCGUGUUGCAUUCC